rnacentral:lncRNA from 1 species
CCUGAUCUUCUCCAUCCUCAUAAACAGCAAGAUUUCAGGAUGGCAUGAUGAGAUUCCAAAACAUCAAAUCCGGAAAGGAUGGGAAUCAGCUGAUUUCUUCUUGAGAUAACACUGAGGAAGAGCAUUACUGCAUGUCUGAUGGAGAACAGCAGACAAGUGAGAAAGGACUAAGAUGGAGAGAUCAUUUUCCUGCAGCUCUUUGCAUUGAACAGAAGAGCUCAGCCUGAAUCAAAGCACUAAUUCAAAUGCAGCAAUU